GUCCCAGUAGCGCAAUGGAUAGCACGUUGGAAUUCUAAUUCAAAAGUCGUGGGUUCGAAUCCCACCUGGGAUG
rnacentral:tRNA from 1 species